UACGUAGGGUGCAAGCGUUGUCCGGAAUUACUGGGCGUAAAGCGUGCGCAGGCGGUUUUGUAAGCCAGAUGUGAAAUCCCCGGGCUUAACCUGGGAAUGGCAUUUGGGACUGCAAGGCUGGAGUGCGGCAGAGGAGACUGGAAUUCCUGGUGUAGCAGUGAAAUGCGUAGAUAUCAGGAGGAAUACCGAUGGCGAAGGCAGGUCUCUGGGCUGACACUGACGCUCAUGCACGAAAGCGUGGGGAGCAAACAGG
rnacentral:rRNA from 1 species